rnacentral:rRNA from 1 species
GCACGGGAGACAGAGCACCGGGUGCUAACGUCCGGACUCAAAAGGGAAACAACCCAGACCGCCGGCUAAGGUCCCAAAUAACAGCUAAGUGGAAAACGAAGUGGAAAGGCCGUGACAACCAGGAAGUUGGCUUAGAAGCAGCCAUCCUUCAAAGAAAGCGUAAUAGCUCACUGGUCGAGUCCUUCUGCGCGGAAGAUGUAACGGGGCUAAGCUGUUAACCGAAGCCGCGGAUGCGCUGGUUAUCCAGUGCGUGGUAGGGGAGCGUUCUGUAAGUCUGCGAAGGCGGUUCGAGAGGACUGCUGGAGAUAUCAGAAGUGCGAAUGCUGACAUGAGUAACGUUAAAGCAGGUGAAAAGCCUGCUCGCCGUAAGCCCAAGGAUUCCUGCUCUACGUUCAUCGGAGCAGGGUGAGUCGGCUCCUAAGGUCAGGCCGAAAGGCGUAGCCGAUGGGAAUCAGGUUAAUAUUCCUGAACCUGCGUCAGAUGCGAUGGGGGGACGGAGCAUGGAAGAUCAUCCGGGUGUUGGAAGUCCCGGUUGUUUAGCGUAGGAGGUCUGCAGGCAAAUCCGCAGACGCAUCUCCAAGGCAAAGACACGUGCCGCCACGGCGGCGAAGUGAUCGGAAGUGCUUCCAAGAAAAGCCUCUAAGCACCAGUCUGAUGCGGACCGUACCGCAAACCGACACUGGUGGGCGAGCUGAAUAUGCUCAGGCGCUUGAGAGAACUCGGGAGAAGGAACUCGGCAAAUUGACACCGUAACUUCGGAAGAAGGUGUGCCGUAGUACCGUGAGAGGAGAGACACCUUGAGCGGGAAACGGUCUCAGAGAAUAGGUGGCUGCGACUGUUUAUUAAAAACACAGCACUCUGCAAAGUCGAAAGACGACGUAUAGGGUGUGAUGCCUGCCCGGUGCUGGAAGAUUAAUUGAUGGGGUGAGAGCCCUUGAUCGAAGUCCCAGUAAACGGCGGCCGUAACUAUAACGGUCCUAAGGUAGCGAAAUUCCUUGUCGGGUAAGUUCCGACCUGCACGAAUGGCAUAACGAUGGCCACACUGUCUCCUCCCGAGACUCAGUGAAGUUGAAAUGUUUGUGAUGAUGCAAUCUACCCGCGGCUAGACGGAAAGACCCCAUGAACCUUUACUGCAGCUUUGCAUUGAACUGUGAACCGAUUUGUGUAGGAUAGGUGGGAGGCAGAGAAGAGGCUACGCCAGUGGUCUUGGAGCCGACCUUGAAAUACCACCCUGAUUUGUUUGCGGUUCUAACCACGGACAGUGAUCCUGUCUUGGGACCGUGCAUGGUAGGCAGUUUGACUGGGGCGGUCUCCUCCUAAAGGGUAACGGAGGAGUACAAAGGUACGCUAGGUACGGUCGGAAAUCGUGCUGAUAGUGCAAUGGCAAAAGCGUGCUUGACUGCGAGAGCAACAACUCGAGCAGAUGCGAAAGCAGGUCAUAGUGAUCCGGUGGCUCUGAAUGGAAGGGCCAUCGCUCAACGGAUAAAAGGUACUCUGGGG